rnacentral:lncRNA from 9 species
UGUUUCCGUGGGUGGGGCCUGCGUUUCUGUGGGUGGGGUUUGUGUUUCUCUGGGCACUCCCUUGACAGUCACGCGCACCCCAGGACUCCGCCCCUGUGUCCCUGGACUGACUUUGGAAGGAAGGCGACCAGUGUGUCAGCAUCGCUGGAAGCGUCUCAUCGAGGUUGGUCCCACCGGGGAAAGGUGGGUCACGGAAUGUUCUCGUGGAGACGCCCUCAUUCGUGGCAGGACCUGCGGCCUGAGGCUGGCGAGAGAGCACGCGGCGCAAACCCCUCCGGGUGUGAGACCCUGGACUUGACCCCUCGGGGCCUCAGCGCCCUCCCCUGCAGGAUGGGUGCGCUGCCUCACCCUGACUGCGUGAGGGGGAAGCUUCUUGGUGAAGAGGCCCCAUGCUGGGCACGGGAUGGGCGUGGGGGCGGGCUGGCCCGGGCAGUGCCCAGACCUCUGCCAGACCCUCCUUGGGGCCUGAGUCCCGCGCUGAGCCACAAAGAGAGCCUGCUGCGGUUGUGAGGGUCCCUCCUAGGGGACCACCUGGGACUUUACCUUCUGCAGCAGCCAGUUUCCAUGUUGUCGCACCAUCGUCCUCGGGGGCCGUGGUAAUAGCAGCCGUAAUAGAGCAGCAGCGACCUGGAGGCCAGUGCCCAGUGAAGCGAUUUUUGCAGGGAGCCAGCAGGACCGCACAUCUCCAGGGUGGCUCCAGAGUCACAGGGGUCACUGCAGCAGGUCGUGUUCCGGGUCAAAAUGCCUAGGACGUGGGGGAACUAGAACAUGUGAAUUUUGGUGGGGACGUAAAAUGGUACAGCUAUAUGGAAAACAGUACAGCAGUUUCUCAAAAAAUAUAAUAAAUAGAAUUAUCAUGAGAAACAAAAAACAAACAAAAUGCCUGGCUUUGUAAACACCUUCCUGGAAGGUGAGCUGGAGUGUUCGAAAUUAGGAAGUUUGGUACGUCAGCUUCUGAUACAGAAGAUGCUCCACAUGGAGACAAGAGGGCUUUUGUUAAGAUCUCACGCUAGUUCACUGUGUCCUGGUUUUUGUCUCUUGUCUUAAUAGCUCAGCGGCAUCUCGGGGAGUCUCUUUGGAAUUUUCCCCUUUGGGUUUCUCCUUGGCUCUGCCUCUUUCCUCCUAGACCCUGCCUUGGGGGUGGGGGUUGAGCUGGGGAGGCCGCGGAGGCCGCUGAGUCUGUCAUGUGCCCCCGUGAUCGGGGUCUCUGUGCUGCAGGUGGAGGAGUGGGCAUGGCCCCACCUGAGACCCUCGGGAUGGGGAGGUGUCCACCUUGGUUUUACACCUUCUCUGAAAGCUCGUCCACAGUGGAGGUGAGAGAACGUUUCCCAAACGCCUGGGCCGCUGCCAGACCCCAGGAGGCAGCUCUGUGCUUGACAAAAUCCAAAGUCAGCUCGUCACGCUUGGGGCCCGCAGUGUGGGGCAGAGAAGGACAUGCCCCUUGACCAGCCAGUCAUCAGGCUGGACCGCCGGGUACACAGGUAUCAGGCUUCCCCGGGCCUGGUCCAGGCAGAGGAGGAGGGCUUGUGAGCUGGUGUCCAGCCGUGCUGUGAUGACAAGGACAGAUGUCCAGAGAGGCCUCUGGGAGCUUCUGCUCCCUCUCUAGUCAGUCCUCUCCUGCUUGUUUGGGGUCAGCUCCGCAGUCACCUUUGAUUUGGGAGAGGCCAUGCAGAGGACCCGGCACGCCCCUCAUUUGACACCCCAGGGAGCUGAGGCCCAGAGGAGCUGCUCACCUGGACGCCCGAAGGCCUGGCACCACUGGGUCAGCCGGGCCCCGCCAAGUGCCCCCUCAUCCUGGCUUCUGUCUUGGUUGAU